rnacentral:ncRNA from 2 species
AAACCAUCAUCCGUCUGCGACGGGGAAGCCGGUCCAACUCCGGCGCUGACCCGCAACCGUAGGCGUCCCGGCCCCAGGGCCGUGGCGCGAGCCGGACCGCCCGUCGCGGGCAUACCUGACAA